rnacentral:rRNA from 1 species
AGUCACUGACAUUAGAUACCCCCGUAGUCCAGGGUGUAAACGCUGCAGACUUGGUGUUGGAGGCCCUUUGGGGGCAUUCAGUGCCGGAGAGAAGUUGUUAAGUCUGCUACUUGGGGAGUACGUCCGCAAGGAUGAAACUUAAAGGAAUUGGCGGGGGAGCACCGCAACGGGAGGAGCGUGCGGUUUAAUUGGAUUCAACACCGUAAAACUCACCAGGGAAGACUGUUACAUGAAAGCCGAGAUGAAGACUCUGCUAGAUUUUCAG